GAUGAACGCUAGCGAUAGGCCUAACACAUGCAAGUCGAGGGGCAUCACAUGAAGUAGCAAUACGGAUGGUGGCGACCGGCGCACGGGUGAGUAACACGUAUGCAACCUGCCUUCAACAAGGGGAUAACCCGUUGAAAGACGGACUAAUACCCUAUAACACAGGGGUCCCGCAUGGGAAUAUUUGUUAAAGGACAACCGGUUGAAGAUGGGCAUGCGUUCCAUUAGCUAGUUGGCGGGGUAACGGCCCACCAAGGCAACGAUGGAUAGGGGAACUGAGAGGUUUAUCCCCCAACUGGUACUGAGACACGGACCAGCUCCUACGGGAGGCAGCAGUGAGGAAUAUUGGUCAAUGGACGCAAGUCUGAACCAGCCACGUCGCGUGAA
rnacentral:rRNA from 1 species